rnacentral:rRNA from 1 species
GAUGAACGCUGGCGGCGUGCUUAACACAUGCAAGUCGAACGGGAUCCCAGGAGCUUGCUCCUGGGUGAGAGUGGCGAACGGGUGAGUAAUGCGUGACCGACCUGCCCCAUACACCGGAAUAGCUCCUGGAAACGGGUGGUAAUGCCGGAUGCUCCAACAUGACGCAUGUCGUGUUGGGAAAGAUUCAUCGGUAUGGGAUGGGGUCGCGUCCUAUCAGGUAGUCGGCGGGGUAACGGCCCACCGAGCCUACGACGGGUAGCCGGCCUGAGAGGGCGACCGGCCACAUUGGGACUGAGAUACGGCCCAGACUCCUACGGGAGGCAGCAGUGGGGAAUAUUGCACAAUGGGCGCAAGCCUGAUGCAGCGACGCCGCGUGCGGGAUGACGGCCUUCGGGUUGUAAACCGCUUUUGACUGGGAGCAAGCCCU